rnacentral:rRNA from 1 species
UGUAGCAAUACAGUGGAAGUUCUAGUGGCGAACGGGUGCGUAACACGUGGGCAAUCUGUCGUAAAGUGUGGGAUACCUCGGCGAAAGCCGAAUUAAUACCGCAUGUGAUCAGGGAAGACAUCUUUCCGAAAUCAAAGGUGCCGCAAGGUACCGCUUUCUGAGGAGCCCGCGGCCUAUCAGCUUGUUGGUGAGGUAACGGCUCACCAAGGCUUUGACGGGUAGCUGGUCUGAGAGGACGACCAGCCACACUGGGACUGAGACACGGCCCAGACACCUACGGGUGGCAGCAGUCGAGAAUUUUUCUCAAUGGGGGAAACCCUGAAGGAGCGACGCCGCGUGGAGGAUGAAGGUCUUCGGAUUGUAAACUCCUGUCAUUUGAGAACAAGGUGCAUACGUUUACUGCGUGUGCAUUGAUAGUAUCAGAAGAGGAAGAGACGGCUAACUCUGUGCCAGCAGCCGCGGUAAUACAGAGGUCUCAAGCGUUGUUCGGAUUCAUUGGGCGUAAAGGGUGUGUAGGUGGCGCGCUAAGUCGGGUGUGAAAUUUCGGAGCUUAACUCCGAAACUGCAUUCGAUACUGGCGUGCUUGAGGACUGGAGAGGAGACUGGAAUUCACGGUGUAGCA